rnacentral:lncRNA from 1 species
GGGGUUUUAAGUGUUUUAUUUGUCCAUUUGGAAUGAUUAGUAUUUAUAAUCAACAACAUAAAUCCACCCCUCAGUGAAAGACCCGACAGCUUGUUAUUACCAAACAUAUUACAGCCUGCUGAAGGGUGAAGAAUUACAGACAUAAAAAGAUGAAUAACAUUAUAUCACCAUUAAAUCACUUACUCUGUUCAUAACAGUUUAAUCGUCUAACAGUAUAAAUUAAGAUUAGGAAGAAAAAAAAAAAUCAACACUUCCAGUGAUAAAAUACAUUCUGUUUAGUACACAAUGUAACAGUACAGUUUAUUACGCUAGUGCAUUAAAAGGCAAAAAAAAUGGACAGCUGCUUUGGAAUAACUGCUUCAUUGCUCAUCUCUCUCUUACACAAACACUGCUUGCAGCCACACAAGCUACCAGGAAGUCUCCAAGAAGUAUCCUACUAGGAAAAUCCAUCACAGUUAAAAAGUUUAAUCGAGAACUACUUCUCCUCUACUCAUAUUACUUGAAUAUGAGGACAUAAAAUUAGAUUCCUUCACAUCUGGAGUUACCAGUGACAUCUCUUCUGAAAUCAAGCAAGUAAUGAACAGAUUUGCAUCCAUACUUCAACCAUCAAAUGAAACCGAAGUGGAAAAACAGCGUUCAUUUUUCACCCAGUUAAGUUACUUAAUACUUGGAAGCCUUCUACAGAGUUUUAAAGUUUAGUGGUUUGAACCAUUUUUCAAGGUUACUAGCAUGUAUGAAAGUUGCAUGUAUGAAUGAUUCAUAACCAAUCAAUAGCAGUAUAACAGCUAAAAAAUAAAACAGUUUUACUUAUUAGAGAUGGAAUUCUUAGAACUCUUCUCCAAAAGCUAAUUUGGAAAAUAACCUUUAUAAAAGUUUUACAGUAAUGAUUUAUAUUACAUUAAUUCUGCAUUAGAUGACAACUUUGAAGACUAAAGUUAACACUGGAAUCAGCCUUCAAAAUAAAGUGGAUCAGAUAUUAAUCUGUAUAAAUCAAAGUAUACUGCAAAUCUGUUUCUCAAGAUAUUGCCUGCUACAGACAGCCUCAUACAGCUAUUAGUGUCCUGUCAAGCAUGUGGAACUACUUGCUUGUCAAUUACACAGGAUGUGAAUGUGAAAAGUAGAGGGACACAGGCAGCAUGUUUUGUUAUGGCAACCAACAUCAUCUUCAUACAAAAUGACAAACAGCAAACAGGAAAAUUCAGAGGCCAACUGAAUUUGGAGUGUGUGUGAUGAAAAUCUCAUUCAGUACCUCAUUAUAUCCUCAAUAUUCUCAGUCCUUUUUAUUUUUUCUUCUUUUGUAGCACAAAACAAACAACAAAAAAACACAAAACAACCAAAAAGAAGAAAAAAAAAAAACCCUAACAAAAAAAAGAAACACAACCCAAAAAAAACCAAACCAAACAAACGCCCCCCCAAACCAAAACCCAGACCCACAAACAAUGAAGCAACAGCAAAACAGAAUCCCUUAUUUCCCAAGGAUCUGAAAUUCCCUCUGAACUUCACUCCGAGAUGCCUAGGAGAAGUUUAAAACCAGACACUAUUGUGUCAAUCUGACUGCCUGCCACACUAAACAAUUCUGUCUACAUCCACCUGCUGUCACUUACGUUAUGAAUAGAUUGCAAGCUCUUAUGGGCAAAGUCUGGCGUUUUAAUUUUCUUUUAUACCAGGAUGUGAUAGUAUCCAUAUCUCCUCUGUGCUACAGUAAUUUCUUAAGCUAAAUAAAAUUAUUACGCUUUAAUUAUUUUCUGCUCUAACCUUCAGAUCCAUCAAAAGUGAGAGAUGGCUGCCCAAAUUACUAGGAACAAAAGGCCACGUUUUCCACACAUGAUCCAACAUGAAAGUAAGCACUCUGCUUGCCAGCAUCCAUGAUGCAGAGUUGUUAUUCUUUGCACCAUGCAAAAAAACCUGCAAGGCUAUCAUUAACAAACUGCAAGUUAUGGUUUCUUUUCAUCCAUUUCAACCGUUUCACUGGAAAGAAGAGGUAGUUCAGACGUAAGGCACAUCCUGCACUGCCUGAUCAGCCAUAUGGCACAUUUCCAUUCCACUGAAAAUAAUAUGAUCUAUUUAAGGGCUGGGAAUGAAAGUUAGAAGAAGGAAUCAGGAAAAACUAAUCAAAUGCACUUGGAGUAUUGUACUAUCUAGCCUCAGACUGCAGCAGAAAAACAGGCAAAACAUC